UACAAUAUGGUUUUAUUAUUUUAAAGCCAAGGGGCAGAAUGCAGAUGAGGCAGUAAUCCAGAAUGUGUUGAAGAAAGUGUAAGACAAAAGCACUCUUUCUAAACUUCAAAGCAAUUAUUGCAAACUCACCAUUAUUUUGCCAAGCUGAUGUGAAAAUAUUUGCAUUUAUAAUUAUGAUCUAUGGUUUAUGAAAUUUUUACUCCUAAUGGAUUUGUAAUUGCUGCAAUAGGUACAAUUUCUUGACAUUGAUUGAUAUGAAGGAAAGAGAGAGAGGGCUAAGAAAGGUUAGGAGGGAAUGAAAUUGUUUUUAUAUGGUAAUGAUGGCCAACAAAUAUUGAUUUAUACUUUCUACGUUGUGGUUCCCAACUGCUGAUGUUAAGCCCCAUUCUGUUAUCAAUGUGUGUGAUAAAGAAACAUUGUCUAGAGAAGAUAAAUGUGACAACAGGAGGAAACAGGACUUAGGCAAGAUAGAAACGUUCGUCAACAAGUGUGGUAAAGAAACAUUGUCUGGAGAAGAUAAAUGUUACGAUAAUACGAGGAACCAGGACUUAGGCAAGAUAGAAACGUUCGUCAACAAGG